rnacentral:rRNA from 1 species
GGGGAAUAUUGCGCAAUGGGGGGAACCCUGACGCAGCAACGCCGCGUGAGCGAUGAAGGCCUUCGGGUCGUAAAGCUCUGUCUUAAGGGAUGAUAAUGACAGUACCUUAAGAGGAAGCCCCGGCUAACUACGUGCCAGCAGCCGCGGUAAUACGUAGGGGGCGAGCGUUGUCCGGAAUUACUGGGUGUAAAGGGCCCGUAGGCGGUUAUUUAAGUCAGCUGUGAAAGUCCAGGGCUUAACCCUGGAAUUGCAAUUGAAACUGAAUAACUUGAGAUAAGGAGAGGAGAGCGGAAUUCCUAGUGUAGCGGUGAAAUGCGUAGAUAUUAGGAAGAACACCAGUGGCGAAGGCGGCUCUCUGGCCUUACCCUGACGCUGAGGGGCGAAAGCGUGGGUAGCGAAC